UCAGGAAAUGUCCCAAAAGGCUUGGGAUUUGGAUAUGGGUAAUAAAACCAGGGAAUCAACCCUCUCCUCAUCCAAUUAACCCUUUCUUUUCGACCCUUAUGAACGAGAUCAAUAAUGGAAAUGAUCAAGACGGAGAAGGAAAUUAACAUACUAAGCAGUGCAUAAUGGGGCUUAUGCACAGAGGAUAACUGAUCAAAAGCAGCUGAUGUAAGCUCUAAGAUGAAGUUGGCGAUGAGGAAGAUCCU
rnacentral:misc_RNA from 1 species